ACGAAGGGGGCUAGCGUUGUUCGGAAUCACUGGGCGUAAAGGGCGCGUAGGUGGCCACCAUAAGGCCGCGGUGAAAGUUCGGGGCUCAACCCCGGGUCGGCCGUGCGAACUGGGGGACUCGAGCACUGUAGAGGCAGGUGGAAUUCCGGGUGUAGCGGUGGAAUGCGUAGAGAUCCGGAAGAACACCGGUGGCGAAGGCGGCCUGCUGGGCAGUGGCUGACGCUGAGGCGCGACAGCGUGGGGAGCAAACAGGA
rnacentral:rRNA from 1 species